UAUCAUUUAUCCAAUCACCAAACUUUAGAGAAUCCUCAGACAAUCUCUCAUUCCCACCACUCCUUUCAUCUAUCCUCACUAUUGUAUUAAAGUCUCCCCCAACGAACACCGGACCCUCCGCAUUACGCAAAACUUCUUCUAAAGCAGCCCAUAAGCCACUUCUACGGCUCGGUGAAGGGGCCGCAUACACAACAAUCAGAUUAAUCACUUUUCCUCCAUUCCCGAUU
rnacentral:lncRNA from 1 species